UACGUAGGGGCCGAGCGUUGUCCGGAGUUAUUGGGCGUAAAGCGCGCGCAGGCGGCCUCGCGCGCCCGACGUGAAAGCCCCCGGCUUAACCGGGGAGGGUCGUUGGGGACGGCGGGGCUUGAGGGCGGGAGAGGGCGGUGGAAUUCCCGGUGUAGUGGUGAAAUGCGUAGAGAUCGGGAGGAACACCUGUGGCGAAGGCGGCCGUCUGGGCCGACCCUGACGCUGAGGCGCGAAGGCAUGGGGAGCGAACGGG
rnacentral:rRNA from 1 species